GAAAUGCGAUAACUAGUGUGAAUUGCAGAAUUCCGUGAAUCAUCGAGUCUUUGAACGCACAUUGCGCCCCCUGGUAUUCCGGGGGGCAUGCCUGUCCGAGCGUCAUUGCUGCCCAUCAAGCACGGCUUGUGUUUUGGGUCGUCGUCCCCUCUUCGGGGGGGACGGGCCCCAAAGGCAGCGGCGGCACCGCGUCCGAUCCUCGAGCGUAUGGGGCUUUGUCACCCGCUCUGUAGGCCCGGCCGGCGCUUGCCGAACGCAAAUCAAUCUUUUCCAGGUUGACCUCGGAUCAGGUAGGGAUACCCGCUGAACUUAAGC
rnacentral:misc_RNA from 1 species